rnacentral:rRNA from 1 species
ACGCACGCUGGCGGCGUGCCUAAUACAUGCAAGUAGAACGCUGAAGAGAGGAGCUUGCUCUUCUUGGAUGAGUUGCGAACGGGUGAGUAACGCGUAGGUAACCUGCCUUGUAGCGGGGGAUAACUAUUGGAAACGAUAGCUAAUACCGCAUAACAAUGGAUGACACAUGUCAUUUAUUUGAAAGGGGCAAUUGCUCCACUACAAGAUGGACCUGCGCUGUAUUAGCUAGUAGGUGAGGUAAUGGCUCACCUAGGCGACGAUACAUAGCCGACCUGAGAGGGUGAUCGGCCACACUGGGACUGAGACACGGCCCAGACUCCUACGGGAGGCAGCAGUAGGGAAUCUUCGGCAAUGGGGGCAACCCUGACCGAGCAACGCCGCGUGAGUGAAGAAGGUUUUCGGAUCGUAAAGCUCUGUUGUAAGUCAAGAACGGGUGUGAGAGUGGAAAGUUCACACUGUGACGGUAGCUUACCAGAAAGGGACGGCUAACUACGUG